ACAUGCCUAGGUCGAAAGGCCGUAUUUAUUAGAUAUUCCAAGAAGGUGAAUCAUAAUAACUUUGCAAAUCGUAAAAAAGUUACGAUAAAUCAUUCAAGUUUCUGCCCUAUCAUGCUUUCGAUGGUAGUGUAUUGGACUACCAUGGCUUUUACGGGUAACGGAGAAUUAGGGUUCGAUUCCGGAGAAGGAGCCUGAGAAACGGCUACUACAUCUAAGGAAGGCAGCAGGCGCGUAAAUUACCCAAUCCUAAAUCAGGGAGGUAGUGACAAGAUAUAACAACGUAGCCUAAUGCUGCGAUUGUAGUGAGGAUUUUCUAAAUCGAAUUACGAGUACGAUUGGAGGACAAGUCUUGGUGCCAGCACCCGCGGUAAUUCCAGCUCCAAUAGCGUAUAUUAAAGUUGUUGCAGUUAAAAAGCUCGUAGUUGGAUUUCAAGGAAGUCUAGGCAUUACCUAGAGUUUCUAACGGCCCUUGGCUGUUACUGUGAGAAAAUUAGAGUGUUUCAAGCAGGCAAUUGCAGGAAUACAUUAGCAUGGAAUAACGAGUGAAUCUAGAAUCGUGGUUAAUUCUAGAUAUCG
rnacentral:rRNA from 1 species